UACGUAGGAGGCAAGCGUUGUCCGGAUUACUGGGCGUAAAGCGCGUGUAGGCGGCUUGGUAAGUCUGCUCUGAAAGCCCGGGGCUCAACCCCGGGAGGCGGGUGGAUACUGUCAAGCUCGAGUCCGGAAGAGGAGUGUGGAAUUCCUGGUGUAGCGGUGAAAUGCGCAGAUAUCGAGAGGAACACCGGUGCGAAGGCGGGUCUCUGGGCAGUAACUGACGCUGAGGAGCGAAAGCGUGGGGAGCAAACAGG
rnacentral:rRNA from 1 species